rnacentral:misc_RNA from 1 species
UCCGUGUUAACCACGGCAGUCUCGCCAGACAUAUAUAACUGGCAAUAAGGGUUGCGCUCGUUAUCGGACUUAACCGUACAUUUCACAACACGAGCUGACGACAACCGUGCAGCACCUGUCUCCAGUGUCAAAAGAGGGGCUCUAUUUCUAGUGCCUUUCACUGGGAUGUCAAAUCUGGGUGAGGUGCCCGGCUUACCAUCCAAUUAAACCACAUGCUCCACCGCUUGUGCGGGUCCCCGUCAAUUCCUUUGAGUUUUAAGCUUGCGCUCGUACUCCCCAGGCGGGUCACUUAACGCGUUAGCUUCGGCACUGGGGGGGUCGAAACCGCCAAUGCCUAGUGACCAUCGUUUAGGGCGUGGACUA